UUGCACUUCGCUUUUUAUACAACG
rnacentral:miRNA from 1 species